ACCAUUGAUGAUCUUCGAGACAAGAUUCUUGGUGCCACCACUGAGAACUCCAAGAUUGUCCUGCAGAUUAACAAU
rfam:Myotis lucifugus cont2.23249, whole genome shotgun sequence.